AACGAACGCUGGCGGCAUGCCUAACACAUGCAAGUCGAACGAGACCUUCGGGUCUAGUGGCGCACGGGUGCGUAACGCGUGGGAACCUGCCCUUAGGUUCGGAAUAACUCCCCGAAAGGGGUGCUAAUACCGGAUAAUGUCUUCGGACCAAAGAUUUAUCGCCUUUGGAUGGGCCCGCGUUGGAUUAGCUAGUUGGUAGGGUAAAAGCCUACCAAGGCGACGAUCCAUAGCUGGUCUGAGAGGAUGAUCAGCCACACUGGGACUGAGACACGGCCCAGACUCCUACGGGAGGCAGCAGUGGGGAAUAUUGGACGAUGGGCGAAAGCCUGACACAGCAAUGCCGCGUGAGUGAUGAAGGCCUUAGGGUUGUAAAGCUCUUUUACCCGGGAUGAUAAUGACAGUACCGGGAGAAUAAGCUCCGGCUAACUCCGUG
rnacentral:rRNA from 1 species